AGCUUUGCGCAGUGGCAGGAUCAGGAUCGUAGCCAGUGAGGUUUAUCUGAGGCGCGAUUGUUGCUAAUUGAAAACUUUUCCCCAUACCCAGCUGUGACGACUUGAAAUAGAGUUGGCAUUGGCAAAAAAAAAAAAAA